GGUGGUAGUAGUAGUAAUGAUGAUGGAAGUGAUAGCAGUUUAGUGAUGGUGGUGGUGGUAGUAGUAAUAAUGAUGAUGGCAUUGAUAGCAGUUUAGUGAUGGUGGUGGUAGUAGUAGUAAUGAUGAUGGUAGUGAUAGCAGUUUAGUGAUGGUAGUGGUAAUAGUAGUGAUGAUGAUGGUAGUGAUAGCAGUUUAGUGAUGGUUGUGGUAGUAGUAGUAAUGAUGAUGGUAGUGAUAGCCAUUUAGUGAUGGUGGUGGUGGUAGUUGUAAUGAUGAUGGUAGUGAUAGCAGUUUAGUGACGGUGGUAGCAGUAGUAAUGAUGAUGGUAGUGAUCGCAUUUUAGAGAUGGUGGUGGUAGUAGUAUUAAUGAUGAUGGAAAUGAUAGCAGUUUAGUGAUGGUGGUGGUGGUAGUAGUAAUAAUGAUGAUGAUGGCAGUGAUAGCAGUUUAGUGAUGGUGGUGGUAGUAGUAGUAAUGAUGAUGGUAGUGACAGCAGUUUAGUGAUGGUGGUGGUAGUAGUUGUAAUGAUGAUGGUAGUGACAGCAUUUUAGUGAUCUAGUGGUGGUAAUAGUAAUAAUGAUGAUGGUUGUGAUAGCGGUUUAGUGAUGGUGGUGGUGGUAGUAGUAGUAGUAAUGAUGAUGGUAUUGAUAGCAGUUCAGUGAUGGUGGUAGUAGUAGUAAUGAUGAUGGUAGUGAUAGCCAUUUAGUGAUGGUGGUGGUGGUAGUAGUAAUAAUGAUGAUGGCAGUGAUAGCAGUUUAGUGAUGGUGGUGGUAGUAGUAGUAAUGAUGAUGGUAGUGAUAGCAGUUUAUUGAUGGUGGUGGAAGUCGUAAAAAUGAUGAAUGUAGUGAUAGCAGUUUAGUGAUCUAGUGGUGGUAAUAGUAAUAAUGAUGAUGGUAGUGAUAGCAGUUUAGUGAUGGUGGUGGUGGUAGUAGUAGUAGUAAUGAUGAUGGUAUUGAUAGCAGUUCAGUGAUGGUGGUAGUAGUAGUAAUGAUGAUGGAAGUGAUAGCAGUUUAGUGAUGGUGGUGGUGGUAGUAGUAAUAAUGAUGAUGGCAUUGAUAGCAGUUUAGUGAUGGUGGUGGUAGUAGUAGUAAUGAUGAUGGUAGUGAUAGCAGUUUAGUGAUGGUGGUGGUAGUAGUAGUGAUGAUGAUGGUAGUGAUAGCAGUUUAGUGAUGGUUGUGGUAGUAGUAGUAAUGAUAAUGGUAGUGAUAGCCAUUUAGUGAUGGUGGUGGUAGUAGUAGUAAUGGUAAUGGUAGUGAUA
rnacentral:lncRNA from 1 species